rnacentral:rRNA from 1 species
AGUCGCACGGGCCGCAAGGCCAGUGGCGGAAGGGUGAGUAAGGCGACGGUAACCAACCCCAUGGUCGGGUAUAGCCGCGGGAAACUGCGGGUAAUCCCCAGCGACGUCCGGAGCGGGCAUCCGCACCGGACCAAAGUCCUGGCGCCGUGGGACGGGCCGUCGUGGUAUUAGGUCGUUGGCGGGGUAACGGCCCACCAAGCCUAUGAUGCCUACCGGGCGUGCGAGCGUGGCCCGGCACACUGGGACUGAGACACUGCCCAGACUCCUACGGGAGGCUGCAGUCGAGAAUCUUCGGCAAUGGGCGCAAGCCUGACCGAGCGACGCCGCGUGGAGGACGAAGGCCUUCGGGUUGUAAACUCCUGUCGAGGGGGAGGAAGGUCGUAAGGCUUGACCGAUCCCUGGAGGAAGCACGGGCUAAGUUCGUGCCAGCAGCCGCGGUAAGACGAACCGUGCGAACGUUAUUCGGAAUCACUGGGCUUAAAGCGCGUGUAGGCGGAUGGGUACGUCGGUCGUUGAAAGCCCCCGGCUCAACCGGGGAAUGGGCGCCGAAACGACCCGUCUGGAGGGACGUAGGGGGACCUGGAACUUCCGGUGGAGCGGUGAAAUGCGUUGAGAUCGGAAGGAACGCCCGUGGCGAAAGCGAGGUCCUGGACGUCUACUGACGCUGAGACGCGAAAGCUAGGGUAGCGAACGGGAUUAGAUACCCCGGUAGUCCUAGCUGUAAACGAUGGGCACUGGGUAGGGGGCUCGCCGAUGGGCUCUCUGCCGAAGCGAAAGCGUGAAGUGCCCCGCCUGGGGAGUAUGGUCGCAAGGCUGAAACUCAAAGAAAUUGACGGGGGCUCACACAAGCGGUGGA